rnacentral:rRNA from 1 species
CAGUCGCCGCGGUAAUACGAAGGGGGCUAGCGUUGCUCGGAAUUACUGGGCGUAAAGGGAGCGUAGGCGGAUCGUUAAGUUGGGGGUGAAAGCCCGGGGCUCAACCUCGGAACUGCCUUCAAUACUGGCGAUCUUGAGUAUGAGAGAGGUGUGUGGAACUCCGAGUGUAGAGGUGAAAUUCGUAGAUAUUCGGAAGAACACCAGUGGCGAAGGCGACACACUGGCUCAUUACUGACGCUGAGGCUCGAAAGCGUGGGGAGCAAACAGGAUUAGAUACCCCUGUAGUCCCUGUCUCUUAUAC